ensembl:lncRNA
GUGGCAUCUAAGUUCCCUAACUAGAGAUCAAACUCAUGCCUCCUGCGGUGGUCAUUUUUCUACAAUGAGUGUGUAUUUCUUCUGUUGAGUUAAAAAAUAAAAAACCUUUAGGUUUGUGACUUAUCUCUAUAUCUGUCUUUGAGUAGAUAAUAUUCCUUCGGGGAUUUAUAUUUCUGAAGGCCUUGUAAAGUGAUGCAUCUCCAAUCUGAAACUGCUCAUCACUUGCUUUAAGUCUAUGAAACAGCCUCACCAAAAGGAGUGGGAAAAAGUUGCUGACCUAAGUAACCUUGGAAAUGAAUGCAGUCUGUAAGUCUAAAGGAAAUCGGAACCUUGCACAGAAACCUUGUAGUCUGAUUGAUAAAGUUGUUUCCCGCAGGAAUAUGUGUUAACAAUUCUGAUACCACCAUGAAUGUCUUGAAACUGAAUAAUUAACUAAAUGGAUGAGGGCCCCUGAGAGUUAGUUAGGUUUUUCAUUGUUGGAGGAGGGGUUACAGAGAAGCAAGGGGAGGAGGUUAAAAUGAUCCAUGUGGUAAUGGAUGAGAAUUAGAGAUCUUGGUAUGAACUCAUAUUUAGUUUAAUUUAGACACAAUUGAUUAUGUAUUAAAAUAUUUAUAGGUAUGUGUAAAUAUUUAUAGAUACAGAUAUACUCUUACUCUGUCAGGUAAGAGGGCUUAUAAGCAACAGCAACAAAUACUCUUACCCCCCCUCACCUUUCUCACACAAGCAGCAGCAUAUUAUGCACACUCUUCUGUACCUUGCUUUUCGCUUAAUAUAUCCUACAUAUCUUCUAUGUAAAUGGAUGAAGCUCACAAUUUUUUCACAGUCACACAGAAUUGGGUUGUGUGGAUAUAACGUAAAGUGAUAGCUUCCUAUUAGUAAAGAGUGAACAUGUAUUAUUUCCAAUCUUUUCCAUUUCAAAGAAUGCUGCAGUAAAUCACCUGGUACAUGCAUUGUUUUGUAUACACACAUAUAUCUUUAGGCUAGAGGCCUGAAUUAAAGGGUACAAGCAUUUGUCAUCAGAUGAAUGAAUACAGACAUUAUUUUAGAGCAUAGAGGCCAUUCCAUUUUUGUACUCCAGCCAGUAGUUUAUGAGACUGCUGGUUUUCCCACAACCUUAGCAAUAGAGUGGGAUGUCCUGCUUUUGGCAUUUUGCCAAUUUAAUUGGUAGGAUAUGAUUUCUCUCUAGUUUUCAUUUACAUGUCAUUUAUUGUAAGUCAAACUGAGCAUCUUUUGUUCGUAGUGAUUCUUCCUAAGGCCCACUUGACUUCGCAGUCCAGGAUGUCUGGCUCUAGGUGAGUGGUCACACCAUCGUGAUUAUCUUGGUCAUGGAGAUCUUUUUUGUAUAGUUCUUCUGUGUAUUCUUGCCACCUCUUCUUAAUAUCUUCUGCUUCAGUUAGGUCCAUAACAUUUCUGUCCUUUAUUGUGCCCACCUUUGCAUGAAAUGUUGGCUUGUUAUCUCUAGUUUUCUUGAAGAGAUCUCUAGUCUUUCCCAUUCUAUUGUUUGCCUCUAUUUCUUUGCACUGAUUACUGAGGAAAGCUUUCUUAUCUCUCCGUGUUAUUCUUUGGAACUCUGCAUUCAAAUGGGUAUAUCUUUCCUUUUCUCCUUUGCCUUUAGCUUCUCUUCUUUUCUCAGCUAUUUGUAAGGCCUCCUCAGACAACCAUUUUGCCUUUUUGCAUUUCUUUUUCUUGGGGAUGGUCUUGAUCACUGCCUCCUGUACAAUGUCAGGAAUCUCCAUCCAUAGUUCUUCAGAUACUCUAUCAGAUCUAAUCCCUUAACUCUAUUUGUCUCUUCCACUGUAUAAUCAUAGGGGAUUUGAUUCAGGUCAUACCUGAAUGGCCUAAUGGUUUUUCCCUACUUUCUCUAUUUAAGUCUGAAUUUGGCAAUAAGGAGUUCAUUAUCUGAGCCACAGUCAGCUCCGGUCUUGUUUUUGCUGACUGUAGACAGCUUCUUCAUCUUCAGCUACAAAGAAUAUAAUCAAUCUGAUUUCAAUAUUGACCAUCUGGUGAUGUCCAUGUGUAGAAUCAUGUCUUGUGUUGUUGGAAGAGGGUUCAGUGAAUUGGAAGAGACCAGUGUGUUCUCUUGGCAAAACUGUUGGCCUUUGCCCUGCUUUGUUUUGUGCUCCAAGGCCAAACUUGCCUGUUACUUGUUAUCUCUUGACUUCCUACUUUUGCAUUCCAGUCCCGUAUGAUGAAAACGAUAUCUUUUUUGGAUGAUAGUCCUAGAAGGUCUUGUAGGUCAUCAAAGAACGUUCAACUUCAGCUUCUUCAGUAUUAGCAGUUGG